UACGUAGGUGGCAAGCGUUGUCCGGAUUUACUGGGCGUAAAGAGCGCGCAGGCGGUCGUUCAAGUCGCGUGUGAAAGCCCCCGGCUCAACUGGGGAGGGUCACGCGAUACUGAUCGACUCGAAGGCAGGAGAGGGUAGUGGAAUUCCCGGUGUAGUGGUGAAAUGCGUAGAUAUGACAUAGAACACCAAUUGCGAAGGCAGCUCACUACACAGUUAUUGACGCUGAGGCACGAAAGCGUGGGGAUCAAACAGG
rnacentral:rRNA from 1 species